AGUGAACGCUGGCGGUAGGCCUAACACAUGCAAGUCGAACGGCAGCACAGUAAGAGCUUGCUCUUACGGGUGGCGAGUGGCGGACGGGUGAGGAAUACAUCGGAAUCUACUUUUUCGUGGGGGAUAACGUAGGGAAACUUACGCUAAUACCGCAUACGACCUACGGGUGAAAGCAGGGGAUCUUCGGACCUUGCGCGAUUGAAUGAGCCGAUGUCGGAUUAGCUAGUUGGCGGGGUAAAGGCCCACCAAGGCGACGAUCCGUAGCUGGUCUGAGAGGAUGAUCAGCCACACUGGAACUGAGACACGGUCCAGACUCCUACGGGAGGCAGCAGUGGGGAAUAUUGGACAAUGGGCGCAAGCCUGAUCCAGCCAUACUGCGUGGGUGAAGAAGGCCUUCGGGUUGUAAAGCCCUUUUGUUGGGAAGGAAAAGCAGCAGGUUAAUACCCCGCUGUUCUGACGGUACCCAAAGAAUAAGCACCGGCUAACUUCGUG
rnacentral:rRNA from 1 species